GAUGAACGCUGGCGGCGUGCCUAAUACAUGCAAGUCGAGCGAACAGACGAGGAGCUUGCUCCUCUGACGUUAGCGGCGGACGGGUGAGUAACACGUGGAUAACCUACCUAUAAGACUGGGAUAACUUCGGGAAACCGGAGCUAAUACCGGAUAAUAUAUUGAACCGCAUGGUUCAAUAGUGAAAUACGGUUUUGCUGUCACUUAUAGAUGGAUCCGCGCCGCAUUAGCUAGUUGGUAAGGUAACGGCUUACCAAGGCAACGAUGCGUAGCCGACCUGAGAGGGUGAUCGGCCACACUAGAACUGAGACACGGUCCAGACUCCUACGGGAGGCAGCAGUAGGGAAUCUUCCGCAAUGGGCGAAAGCCUGACGGAGCAACGCCGCGUGAGUGAUGAAGGUCUUCGGAUCGUAAAACUCUGUUAUUAGGGAAGAACAAAUGUGUAAGUAACUAUGCACGUCUUGACGGUACCUAAUCAGAAAGCCACGGCUAACUACGUG
rnacentral:rRNA from 1 species